rnacentral:lncRNA from 10 species
GCUAAACAAUCCAAAUAUUGGAUUUAAGGAGACAGAUGAGAAACUAAAGAAGUUAAACCAAAUCUACUAGUCGUGGAGCUUUUCAGACGAUAGCUCUCCCACCAGCACCCAGACAGGGUCUUACUCUAUCGCCAAGGCUGGAGUGCAGUGGCAUGAUCACAGCUCACUGCAGCUUCGAACUCCUGGAAUUAAGCGAUCUUGUCACCUCAACCUCUGGAGUAGCUGGGACAACAGGCAUGCACCACCGUGCCCAGCUAAUUUUUUUAUUUUUUGUAGGGACAGGGCCUUGCUGUGUUACCCAAGCUGGUCUUGAACUCCUGGGCUCAAGCAAUUAUCUUUCCUCACCUCCCAAAAUAGUGGAAUUACACGUGUGAGCCACUGUGCCCGGCUACAACCAUUACUUUCUAUUUGGCUCCUGGACUGAUGGAAGCUAGGGCACUGCCAAGGGUAUCAGUGGUGAUCCUUACAUGAUAAUUUGGAGAGCCUGAAUUACAUUAAUGCUGUCAUUUAUGGUCUCUUCACUAUGCUAGGUUCUUUAUAUACCUAUAAUCUAUAAGGUUGGUAUUAUUAUCCCUAUUUCAUAGAGAAGGAUACUGAAAUUUAGAGAAGUUAAGAAGUGUGCCCAAGUGGUAGAAUUGGGGUUGAAAGCAGGCUAUCUACCGCCACAGCCUGAGCUUUUCACCAUUAGGACAUACUGCUUGAUACUGUGAAAGUAUCCAGUAUGUGCUUUGCUUUGUUCUCUCUCUUUUUUUUUUUUUUAAAGGUUCGACAUGCACAGACUACAACCCUAAACCUGGCCAGUUUUUUGUCAAUGCGUGACAUUUGGGCAUGGGGGCGGGUAGGGGCAGACAGUACAACAGAGAGUUCAAAUGGAUUGGCUUUAUUUCCAAAACCAGUCCUUGGGGAAAGAUUUCAAGGCACGUCCUACUGAAAGUCAGCAUGCAGAGAUUGUCAUUCCUAGAACAGGGCUGACCCAAAGAACAACAGUGCUACAAGCAAUCUUCACACCAACCCUAUGACGUAGGCAUCAUUAUCCCCCAUUUUACAGAUGAAGAAACUGAGGUUAAGCAAUUUGUCCACACUACUGCUGGUGAAUGACCGAGCCAAGACUUGCACAUACUGGUUCCCUUCCCUGCAUUCCUUUUUAACCAUACUCCACUCUUGCCUUGGGGGACCAAGAUCCGUGAUGGACAUGUUAUUAUAUUAACAAGAAAACAGACUCUUGAAUUUGGACCUCUGAUGAUAGUGACACAGCACAUGCACUAGGGUGUUGGAGACAAGAGAAAAGCCAGGCCCUGCAAACAAGCUUCCAGGUGUUUGCUAACGUUGAGGUGUGCAGUCUUGGUCAAUCAUCAAUCCAGUAACACACUGCCCAGUUAAAGCACUGCUGAGCAGAACAGGAAGCAAAAAGCGUGUCCACAGGCUGCAUUUAGAGCGGCCCUGGCCUGGGUGAGGCAGCUUGCCUCUUAGAAGGAGGAGAGGCAGAGCUCAGUAGGAAACCCCAAGGACCUUCAAGCAGUAAGAGCUGAGACCUGGAAGGUUCUUCCACACUGAGAAGUCAAGACCUCUUCCGUAAGGCACCCUUCUCCAUGGAAGCCUGGGUAAUCCUUAACCCUAACUUGUUUGGGACACUCUUGAGAAGUCAGAAAGACUUGUCUGUGCCUCUCACAGAGACCACGACCAGGGCAAGCAGCUCAGGUCCUCUGAAACCAGAAUUGGCCGGGUCAGUGCUCCCCUCAGAAACCACACUUGUUUUUCCUCCAGGGAGCCAGGGACUCGAUCACCUGUGACUCACCGUUUCUGUGUUGCCUACACAGCACACACGUCAAGAUCUAAAAUGGCCUCUGCACCCUGUUGCCCUCACCCAUCCUGGCCCCCACUCUGGGAAUGUGUGCAGCUCCACCUUCAGCAUGAAAGUCGGGAAUCUGCGGCUCCUCCCUCCCCUGAAAAACAGAGCAUGACCCAAAGAAUAGAGCUUUCCAUUCUCUACCCUUGCCAGUGUCGUAAUGCUCCUGUUCUCCCAUAAGCCACUCUCUCCUGCACUUGUGUUGCUACAGGAUCAGAACCUAAUCCUAAUUAGAACCUAGUUUUAUUUAUUUUAUUGUUAUUAUUAAUUAUUAUUUUUUGAGACACCCGAGUCUCACUCUGUUGCCCAGGCUGGAGUGCAGUGGUGUGAGCUCACUGCAACCUCUGCCUCCCAGGCUCAAGUGAGCUCCCCACCUCAGCCUCCCGAGUAGCUGGGAUUACAGGUGCAUGCCACCAUUCCUGGCUAAUUUUUGUAUUUUUUUUUUAAUAGAGAUGGUGUUUCGCCCUGUUGUCCAGGCUGGUCUCAAACUUUCUGGCCUCAAGUGAUCCACCUGCCUCAGUCUCCCCAAGUGCUGGAAUUACAGGUAUGAGCCACUGCACCUGGCCUAGAAUCUAGUUUGAUGUAGAAAAUUCAAAUUCAAAUUGUGCAUUCUUCACCAAGUGUGCUAAACUUGCAUCUGGGUGUGGGGCUGUGGUUACGGAUAUAGAAAACUUCAUUUAAUGAGAAUGAUAUUGACAUUUACACGACAACAACAACAAUACUGCAAUUUAUUGACUAUUUUCUAUGGCAAACACUGCAGAGUAUUUCUCAAAUGUUAUCACGCUCAUGCCCCCACCAAGUCUAUUGUUACCGCCCCCAUUUUAUAGAUGAGGAAGAGAUCAUAAGUAGUCGAGUAACCUGCUCAGGCUACACAGCUAUUAAGAGCUGGAGCUGGGAUUUGAACCUGGGCAAUUGUAACUUCAAAGUUGGUGUUUCUCCCUCCCUAAGCAUCGCCCCACCCCAUCUACCAUUUGUGCUGUGAUCUUCGCUGUCAUGGUGUCCCAUGUCUUUCACUGUUCCAGUUCAAGAAGCUUCUCCCCAUCGCCUCCUAUCCACUACAUCCUGACUUGCUAAUGACUCUUCUUGUCAGUACCAAGGGGAUGCUCCAGAGCGACAAUGGCCCAGGUGUACUCACCAUUUUACCAUCAGGUGAGAGGAGAUUGUGGCCUGGGUCCAGGCUGGCUGGGGAGACUUGCUGUAAAACCGACUGGCUGGUCACCAUGGCGCUGUUGCCAUGGUGACUGAUUGUUGAGGAGGAAGUGAUCUCAUUGUUUCCCUGCUGGCUGUAGCGCACUCCUGCAAAACAACACAAACCCAGUAGGGAACAUUAGUGCCACCAGGGUCCUGGAACAAUGACUCGGCACCUCUUGUUUUCAAGGGUGGGUAAUAAGAAAAUAAAGUUGCUUUCUCCUCCCCUGUCCACCCACAAGAAAUAUCGGCUGCUUUUCUCCAGGGUAAAUAUGGCAUGUUCUCUAUUUAAUUCUAGAAUGUAAGCGCCACGAGGGCAGGAAAUUUUUAUCUCGUUUGUUUUGUUCACUGAUGUAUCCCCAGUGCCUUGGCACUGAAUAGCCACUCGGUAAACUUCUGAUGAAUAAAUGAAUGACUGGAUGGAUUCUGUUUGUUAUUGCUUCCGCACAGUUCUUUGAGGAUUUGGGGGUUGAGACUAGCCUUCUGUUACUGGCUGGAGUAUUUUUUAUUCUUUAAAAUGCCUUUUAGAAAUGUUUCCCUGGCAUCCCUCGUGGUGCUGCAAAGUAUAAGUAGACCCAUGUGACGAAGAAGAAGC